rnacentral:misc_RNA from 1 species
UGUGGGAGCGGGCUUGCCCGCGAAAGCAUUGUGUCAGGCAAUAUUGAUAUCGACUGACAUGGCCUCAUCGCGGGCAAGCCCGCUCCCACA